rnacentral:lncRNA from 1 species
CGACGUUCUUCCCGACACAGACUUCUGGCGAGAAACCUGCGCCGGUUUUCAGCGCUUUUCAGAGAUAACUUUGCAUCUCUUCAUUCCGCUUUGCCUGUCGCUGUUCCCGACCCCUCGGAAAACCAGAUUUCCGGAGAGGAAAGACGUGGCGCCAGCGAAGCGGAAACGCGCGAAAAUCGCUGAAAGGCAGAUGCAGAUGGCAAGUGAGGAAAUGCUGCCAGGGCGGGAGUUUCCCGAAAAGGACCUGCCGACUUGUAUAGGCGAACCACGCGGCGUGGCGCCGCUCUCGCCCGCCGGGUGUUCUCUUGCUGUCUCUGGGAGACUGCGGUGAAGUCGACGUUGUGUGAAAACUCUCCCUUCUUGGCUGCCGUUCCGAGUGUACAUACACCGUGCAAACUCGCCGUGUCUGUGCGCCAGUCUGGAUGCGUGUCAAAAAUCGACCAGUUUGACUUGAUUUCUCUCGCUUUCUCGCCAGAAGGGCUGUCGACGGCAGUUCCUCUCCACUGACAUGAAGCGGACGGUCUGAAGUGUCCGCGAACGACCGUCGAGGAAUCCGGUUCUCUCUUAGGCUUUCUUCGGGGUCCGCAGCCUUCUCCCCGGCCCGAACCGAGCUUGGCUGCCUGCAGCUCUCCCCGCGGACUAGGGUGUAUGGACAUCUCGCUGUCUGCGGCCUCUGGGCGGCAGAGACUCGAAGCGGCCGGAGAGGUGCGGAGACCAUUUUUGCGCACUGGGGUCUCUCCUGUAAGUUCUCCGUUUGUGUC